GUUUCACAAGAAUUGGUUAAUUGGUUACCUGCAGAGACCACAGGUCCAUCUUCUGAGGAUGUUAUCAGAAUAGAAGGGUAAGCAGAAACUGGACCAAAUGAAACAGAAACAGCAACUUCUGUAAGACGAUCAGAGAGGAUUAAUAAAAAGCAAACCUCCAGAAAGAUAUGGAUUCUGUGAAAACCUGCAUAUAAUAAAGUAACCAGCAAACUGGAAAGAGGCUUGUAAGACAAAACACAUCUCUUUUGCAAAGAUCUUCAGAACCAGGGAAAAUGUCAGGAUGGUAGAAUUAAGUUCCCCUGCACCAGAGGAGAGACAGCCAGUGAGUCUUGAUAACUCUUACUGGCUCAGAGCUGAAGAUUCACCUGCUGGAGAUUCUUGUCUGAGUCAUACCCUCAUUGCUGCAUAUUUCCUGGUACACCUCCUGGAGCCCUCUUCUGUGAUACACCUGGAGGCUGCUAAACCAGUACACCUGAUGACAUGACCUUUUUGAUGCCUACCAAGACAAGAGCCUACUACUGCUUUGAGCUGGUGGUGAAAUAAAAAACAGGAUGGCAAAAAAGAAGCA
rnacentral:lncRNA from 1 species